AAAUUGAUCUUUGGAAAUCCUAGAUAGUAAUAGAUUUUCAGAUGUGUCUAUGAUUAUUUUGUGGGACUGUCAACCCUUGCUUUAUGACACCAUCACAACUCUCAAGAUGUCUGGCAGAAGCUGGUGACUGCAUAUUGUAGAGGGUUUGACAAAUGUAAUCCAAUGUAUACACUUCACCUGCUCACUCUCCUUUUGUGCCUUCAUCUAUAGGUUUCACUCUCUGUGACCUCCAUUGCUGCUGACCCUGAAUUGGGUGAUAGCUUCCUCCAGCAGCUGCUGAUUUUUCACUUUGCUCUGUAUAUGAUUCUGACCAGACUAGUUUUGAUCCUGUUCUCUGACUUGUUCAUCAGCAAGGCCAUCUAAACACCUGCAAAUCAGGUCUCUAGGCAAAGAUUCCUCAACCUUUUUCUACCUUUGCCUCAUGCAGAACUGCAGUUCGGUUGAUUGUUGAGACUACAGCUUUGAUCUAUGUGUGCAGCAGUAGGCAAGUCCCUUACAGGGGAGAGGGCCGUGACCAUGUUUUAGACUGUAGUGAACACCAGGCUGACCAUUCCAAUUUUAUAGCCUGAGGAAAAAAAGGCAAAGGAGGCCCUGAGGAAAGGUCUUAAUAAAGCCAAGUUGUUC
rnacentral:lncRNA from 1 species